ensembl:snRNA U6 U6 spliceosomal RNA
CAGCAAGAUGAUUUCAAUGCUAAAAGAGUUCAUCUGUGAUACAGAGAAGAUUAGCAUGGCCCCUGCACAAGGAUGACAUGCAAAUGUGUGAAAAGUUCCAUAUUAAA